GCUUGCUUUCUUUGCUGGCGACCGGCGCACGGGUGAGUAACACGUAUCCAACCUACCCUUUACUCGGGGAUAGCCUUUCGAAAGAAAGAUUAAUACCCGAUAGCAUAAUGAUUCCGCAUGGUUUCAUUAUUAAAGGAUUCCGGUAAAGGAUGGGGAUGCGUUCCAUUAGGUUGUUGGUGGGGUAACGGCCCACCAAGCCUUCGAUGGAUAGGGGUUCUGAGAGGAGGGUCCCCCACAUUGGAACUGAGACACGGUCCAAACUCCUACGGGAGGCAGCAUG
rnacentral:rRNA from 1 species